rnacentral:rRNA from 1 species
GUCUACGGCCAUGCCACCCUGAACAAGCUUGAUCCCAUCUGAUCUCAGGAGCUAAGGGUCGGGCCUGGUUAGUACUUGGAUGGGAGACCACCUAAGAAGAUCAGAUGCAGUAGGCA